rnacentral:RNase_P_RNA from 1 species
UUGGGAAAGCGCGCAAUCGCCGCCUUUUAGCUUCUUGCUAGAAGGGGGAGGAAAGUCUGGACUUCGCAGGAAAUGAUACCAGUGAAAGACUGGGGGCCGCAAGGCUACGGAAAGUGUAACAGAAAACAUUUCGCUGCUGCUUAAGCAGACAGACUGAAAAUGCUGGCUUUAUGAGCCAGACCUACCCGUAGCAAUAUGGGAGGCUAUAAACCCUAUCGGAAGCAAGAGUAUAAGUGGAGCUGAAAAGCAAAGUGUGUCCUGCACCACUACUUAGGAAUCUCGCUUGAGGAUCUUAGCGAUAAGAUCCCUAGAUGAAUGAUUGCACCUUAUUUUAUAAGGAAACAGAAUCCGGCUUACUGCUUUCCCAAUUUU